rnacentral:rRNA from 1 species
UACAGAGGUCCCAAGCGUUGUUCGGAUUCACUGGGCGUAAAGGGUGCGUAGGCGGUCGGGUAAGUCUGAUGUGAAAUCUCACAGCUUAACUGUGAAACUGCAUUGGAUACUAUCCGGCUAGAGGAAUGGAGGGGAGACUGGAAUACUUGGUGUAGCAGUGAAAUGCGUAGAUAUCAAGUGGAACACCAGUGGCGAAGGCGAGUCUCUGGACGACUCCUGACACUGAGGCACGAAAGCUAGGGGAGCAAACAGG